rnacentral:rRNA from 1 species
GCUCAGAUUGAACGCUGGCGGCAGGCCUAACACAUGCAAGUCGAACGGUAACAGGAAACAGCUUGCUGUUUCGCUGACGAGUGGCGGACGGGUGAGUAAUGUCUGGGAAACUGCCUGAUGGAGGGGGAUAACUACUGGAAACGGUAGCUAAUACCGCAUAACGUCGCAAGACCAAAGAGGGGGACCUUCGGGCCUCUUGCCAUCAGAUGUGCCCAGAUGGGAUUAGCUAGUAGGUGGGGUAACGGCUCACCUAGGCGACGAUCCCUAGCUGGUCUGAGAGGAUGACCAGCCACACUGGAACUGAGACACGGUCCAGACUCCUACGGGAGGCAGCAGUGGGGAAUAUUGCACAAUGGGCGCAAGCCUGAUGCAGCCAUGCCGCGUGUAUGAAGAAGGCCUUCGGGUUGUAAAGUACUUUCAGCGGGGAGGAAGGGAGUAAAGUAAAUACCUUUGCUCAUUGACGUUACCCGCAGAAGAAGCACCGGCUAACUCCGUGCCAGCAGCCGCGGUAAUACGGAGGGUGCAAGCGUUAAUCGGAAUUACUGGGCGUAAAGCGCACGCAGGCGGUUUGUUAAGUCAGAUGUGAAAUCCCCGGGCUCAACCUGGGAACUGCAUCUGAUACUGGCAAGCUUGAGUCUCGUAGAGGGGGGUAGAAUUCCAGGUGUAGCGGUGAAAUGCGUAGAGAUCUGGAGGAAUACCGGUGGCGAAGGCGGCCCCCUGGACGAAGACUGACGCUCAGGUGCGAAAGCGUGGGGAGCAAACAGGAUUAGAUACCCUGGUAGUCCACGCCGUAAACGAUGUCGACUUGGAGGUUGUGCCCUUGAGGCGUGGCUUCCGGAGCUAACGCGUUAAGUCGACCGCCUGGGGAGUACGGCCGCAAGGUUAAAACUCAAAUGAAUUGACGGGGGCCCGCACAAGCGGUGGAGCAUGUGGUUUAAUUCGAUGCAACGCGAAGAACCUUACCUGGUCUUGACAUCCACGGAAGUUUUCAGAGAUGAGAAUGUGCCUUCGGGAACCGUGAGACAGGUGCUGCAUGGCUGUCGUCAGCUCGUGUUGUGAAAUGUUGGGUUAAGUCCCGCAACGAGCGCAACCCUUAUCCUUUGUUGCCAGCGGUCCGGCCGGGAACUCAAAGGAGACUGCCAGUGAUAAACUGGAGGAAGGUGGGGAUGACGUCAAGUCAUCAUGGCCCUUACGACCAGGGCUACACACGUGCUACAAUGGCGCAUACAAAGAGAAGCGACCUCGCGAGAGCAAGCGGACCUCAUAAAGUGCGUCGUAGUCCGGAUUGGAGUCUGCAACUCGACUCCAUGAAGUCGGAAUCGCUAGUAAUCGUGGAUCAGAAUGCCACGGUGAAUACGUUCCCGGGCCUUGUACACACCGCCCGUCACACCAUGGGAGUGGGUUGCAAAAGAAGUAGGUAGCUUAACCUUCGGGAGGGCGCUUACCACUUUGUGAUUCAUGACUGGGGUGAAGUCGUAACAAGGUAACCGUAGGGGAUCCUGCGGUUG